GGGCGGGAGGGAAAAAAGAGACACAGAGAAAGUAUCUUUUGUGCGUGUGUGUGGAAAUAAUACAAAACGUUUAUUUUCGGUAUCUCACAAGAACACAGCUAAGUAAUCCAACUCUACUGCAGCAUUAUAAAAAUCAUCCCUUCACCACAGGGUAAGAUUUAAAUGCAUCUGCACAAGUAUGCAUGCUAUAUUAAAGGAGAAAGGUUGCUGCUGCCCUGCCAAGAACUUACGGCCCCUAUCCAGGUCCUACUCCAAUACUGGUGGUCCCAAUGGUUUUAUUGAAAUAAAUCAUGUUUAAAAAAUAAAGCAUUUAAAAAGACAAGUCAAAAUGCCAGAUCAGAAGAG